rnacentral:lncRNA from 1 species
GUGUGUAUCUUUUAUUGAAUUUUUAAAUACAGGCUAUGUGAUAAAUAGGUGGUCACAAGACAAAAACUUUCAAAAGCUUAUUCGAAUCAUUUCUUCAUUUGUUUAACCGAUAUAACUACUUGAUCGAAAGAUCUAGAAUGCCUGUGACACAUAUGACGAAGAUGGUGGUCCAUAUGAAGUCGAUCCAUUUUUUUCUUCUUUUCAACUUUGCGAUUUUAGGGGGAUUGGUCUUAUGAUAACCUGCUAAAUGUGACGAACUCUUACCAUUCGAAGUGCCUACUCAUUGAACAGUUCCUGCUAUUGCCAUAGAUUUUAUUGUCAUUUCUUGUUAAAACAUGUUGUCUAUAUGUCUCUUAUGGAGAUAUUUGGUGUUUUUACGAUUGAAGAUUUUUUUUUAUCACUUUCAUAGUUUGAUUAGUUUGUAUUUUUAGUAUCGUAAUAUUUGACACAGAUCAACAUCAUAUAUUUCCUUGCCAUACAACUAAAACUGUUCCUUUUCUUUCUUUCUAUGUUGCGUAACCAAGACGAUUUAUCACUGGUAUUUCAUUUGCCCCGGGUGAGACAGCAGUAGAAGGAACACGACUUAUUCACGAAUUCAUUCGAAGCACAUGAUUUCCCCAUUGCUCUCUUUAGUUGUUUGUUCUGUAUCCGUACAGUCUUGAGUUUUCUAUGAAAUAUUUUGUGGGUUUUCGCUGUUCAAUUUUUGACAUUGCUGUUGCCGGUGUUCCCGGAACUGGUAGAGUUAAUUGUUCCAUAG